GGGGUCACUUGGGGUCCCAUUUUGGGGUCCCAUUUUGGGGUCCCAUUUUGGGGUCCCAUUUUGGGGUCCCUGGGGUUUGGGGUCCCUGGGGUUUGGGGUCCCUGGGGUUUGGGGUCCCUGGGGUUUGGGGUCCCGUUUUGGGGUCCCGUUUUGGGGUCCCAUUUUGGGGUCCCUGGGGUUUGGGGUCCCAUUUUGGGGUCAUAUUUUAUGGUCCCAUUUGGGGUCAUUCUGGGGUCCCUGGGGUUUGGGGUCCCAAUUUUGGGGUCCCAAUUUGGAGUCAUUUUGGGGUCCCUUUUUGGGGUCUCUCGGGGUCAUAUUUUGGGGUCACUCGUGGUCCCAUUUUGGGGUGUCUCGGGGUCACAAUUCGGGGUCUCUCGGGGUCAUAAUGGGGUCACAUUUUGGGGUCCCAUUUGAGGUCAUUUUGGGGUUAUUUUGGGGUCCCUUUUUGGGGUCACUCGGGGUCACAAUUUGGUGUCACUCGGGGUCGCAAUUUGGGGUCACUCGGGGUCCCAUUUUGGGGUCCCUGGGGUUUGGGGUCCCAUUUUGGGUCACAUUUUGGGGUCACUCGGGGUCACAAUUUGGGGUCCCAUUUGGGGUCAUUUUGGGGUCUU
rnacentral:lncRNA from 1 species